UACGUAGGGUGCGAGCGUUGUCCGGAAUUAUUGGGCGUAAAGGGCUCGUAGGCGGUUUGUCGCGUCGGGGAGUGAAACACCGGGCUUAACUCGGUGCUUGCUUUCGAUACGGGCAGACUGGAGGUAUGCAGGGGAGAACGGAAUUCCUGGUGUAGCGGUGAAAUGCGCAGAUAUCAGGAGGAACACCGGUGGGCGAAGGCGGUUCUCUGGGCAUGUCCUGACGUGAGGAGCGAAAGUGUGGGGAGCGAACAGG
rnacentral:rRNA from 1 species